rnacentral:rRNA from 1 species
UACGUAGGGCGCAAGCGUUUGUCCGGAAUUAUUGGGCGUAAAGAGCUCGUAGGCGGCUUGUCACGUCGAUUGUGAAAGCCCGAGGCUUAACCUCGGGUCUGCAGUCGAUACGGGCUAGCUAGAGUGUGGUAGGGGGAGAUCGGAAUUCCUGGUGUAGCGGUGAAAAUGCGCAGAUAUCAGGAGGAACACCGGUGGCGAAGGCGGAUCUCUGGGCCAUUACUGACGCUGAGGAGCGAAAGCGUGGGGAGCGAACAGG